rnacentral:rRNA from 1 species
GACGUAGGGCGCAAGCGUUGUCCGGAUUUAUUGGGCGUAAAGAGCUCGUAGGCGGCCUGUCGCGUCCGCUGUGAAAUCCCGGGGCUUAACCCCGGUUCUGCUUCCGGUACGGGCAUGCUGGAGUGUGGCAGGGGAGACUGGAAUUCCUGGUGUAGCGGUGGAAUGCGCAGAUAUCAGGAGGAACACCGGUGGCGAAGGCGGGUCUCUGGGCCAUUACUGACGCUGAGGAGCGAAAGCGUGGGGAGCGAACAGG